rnacentral:tRNA from 1 species
AAGUACUUAGUCUAAAAAGACUAUUGAUUUCGACUCAAUAAAUUCUGUAUAAACCAGAAGUACUUA